CCACCUACUUCCCCCACACGGCCAUCCGGUACCCACCGCAUCUCAACCCCCAGGACCCACUCAAAGAUCUCGUGUCACUUGCCUGCGACCCAGCCAGCCAGCAGCCUGGACCGUCCUGGUAUCUGGGAUAGCAAAGGUCUUCGCCCCACGCCUCUUCUCCAUCGUCCCGGGAAUCCCGGGGGCACCACCGCCAGCCCCGCAGCCCCCAUUUUCAGUGGAAUAUUAGAGUGAGCAAGAACACCCCUGCCGACUCCCAGCCUGGCCGAAAAGACAAAACCCACAGACAUACACAUGCAGGAGGAAAAGGAAAAACAAAAAAAAAAAAACCCACCUGACCAAGAAGACAGAAGGUAAAGACAGCAUGGUUCCCAGCUCUUGGAAUGCUACGGCCGCAGAACUGGAGGACCCACGCCCUGCCACCCACAGGGGACCUGGCACAAGACGGGGGCACCUUUCCUAAGUUAUUCAUCUCCGUUCCACCUGCUGCUCCAGAAGGACAGAUGCCCGCUGCCUGCCUGCUCCCCAAGGCCCCGACGCUGCCCAGACACCAGGUGAGCCAACCUGGCAUCCAUGCCCAGCGCCGAUGGACAAAUGGGGCAGGACACCUAGCAAGGCCAUCUCUUCCUGGGGACAUUAGCCAGCCCCCCACGGAUGGUGUUUGCCAAAGCAGGGUGGCAGGUGCUGGUGGGAAAGGGAGAUGGCGAAGACCCCAGCCUCGGGUGACAGAGAUCUUGAUGGAGGUCAGGGCAGGCAGUAGAGCCACCGAUGAGGGCAGAAGAUUUCGUGGGAGGCCCCCCGGCAUCGCCAGGGAUGCAGUGCAGGUACUUUGGGACACACACCCCUCUGCAGGGUCUUGCGAGCCGACCUUGUCCUGCGUGCCCUCCCCACAGCCCCCAGGACUGGCUCUUGCUCUCUGGCACUGGGGACUUGGUCUUUCGGCCCUCAGGCCGCCCCAUUUGGGGGGACAAGUCUAUGCAAUUUGACCCCAGUACCACCCCAGCAUAGGAGGGGGCCACCUCACCUCCCCCGCCCUGCCCAGCUUGGCGUCCCGGGAGGAGCCCUGUUGCACAUGUUGGAAGCAAUGCACCUUCCCAGGAAGGGGAUGGCGGAGUGGAGGACCCCGAGCUCCCUGAGGGGUGCCUAUCUGGAGUCUACCCACUGAGGCCUGGAAGGGAGGACAGCCCUCUCUCCGUAGCCCCUGGAGGUGGGAGGUAACAGUAAGAGGUUUAAGUGCCUGACCCCCACCGCCUGACCCCCCAUCGUCCAGCUGGGACACAGAGAGGCCGUGGGCAUUCCCACCCUCUCUCCAACCCCCCUGGCCCCUCAUUGCUGUGCCCCCUCCAAGCUAGAGAGACGGGACCCCUGCUGGGCCAUGGGCUGGGUCCUGGGGCUGCUGCUGCCCCAGCCCCCUUUGCCAGUGCCUUACGUCCCGGAGACAGCCUCUCCCUGGUGUCCCUCACGCAGGGGGCCACCGUUUGCACUUUCAUCUCCCCCAAAGUGGGGCCCAGUGGAGGGACCCCGGACUGGGAGGGCUCUUGCGGGGACUGGGCAGCCGGUGGGGGCUCCCAUCUGCUAUGCGUUUUCCGUUGACCUGCUCCAAAAACACUAAGCUGGGGGUGCCGGGUGCCCCCUAACCUGGCUCCGCAGCCCCAUCACGUUCACCUGGGACCCCCAUCUUGGAUGGGAUGCAGGAUGGGGUGUCAGGUGUUUUAGGGCCACUGGGCCCAAACAUGAGGACCCUUCCCUGGCCUACCCAUCCCAGCCAUCCCCCAGACCGCCUUCAUGCCUGGCGCUAGGGAAAAAGCCCCCAUCCACGCCCCCUACCCAUCGUAGGCCAAAGCCAUCAUCCACCAGGGCCUGUCUUGUCCACCCUUGGCCCUGCCCUCCUCCCUGUCCCGGUGGCCCCGGGCUCUCCUCCCAGACUGGCCCCAGGGGCUUGGCAAACCUACUCUAACAUACAGAAAAACCCAAGACCUUUCCCCGCUCCCUGCCCCCUCCCACCCCUGUGGUCCAGAGGGGUCCGUGUGUCUGUCUGUCCGUCCGUCUGUCCUCAGGGACCCUCCGCUGGGGGCCGUUGGGGACUAAAGCACGGGCCGCUGUCCAGCAGGGCAGGGGUGAGGGGCGUGCCGUCAGGCAGCGGAAGCUUCUCAGCGAGGGUGGGGCAGGGGUGGAGGAUGGGCUGAUCUCGGGGUGGACCCGGCAGCCCCCGGCCAGCUGGACCCUGAGGGGUCAGGGCCGAUGAGAACCAACUCUUUACCUGAUUUUGCAUGGUGCUUAGGGACCCGCGACCCCACUCCCCACCACCACGUCAGCCACCGCUGACGCGUGCAUGGCAGAUUGUCCCUGGCUCUAUCCCCCCAGCCCCACCCUCCACCCCUCACUUCCUCUUAAAAAAAAAAAAAAAAAAGAUAGAAAAAAGUCCUAAAAAAAACCAAACCCAAUUCCAUGUUUCCUUAUUUGCACGAAAUUUUCUAUCACAUGAUGUGCCUUGCCUUCCGAGAUAAGUAUUACCUUUACUCUAUCAGCGCACGGCUGCAUGGAAUGCGCGCGUAGUCACAGACAGACAGCGAUGACAAGAAAUAAAAGAUACAAAUCGAAAAGGGAUGUAUUUCUAUUUGUAAAAAACAAAAACAAGAAUUUUUAAAAAAAAAAAAAGAAAAAUGCUCUGAAGCACCCCACCCGCCUCCAUUCUGCCUCCUUGGCCCCUUCUGCAUUGGGGGGGGGGGCUGCUCCCUGGUGCUCACCCUCCUUCACCCCCAGUCCUGCUCCUGGCCUCUAAGUGAGUCCCCCUCCCCUUGGGAUGGGCCUCAGGGGUGUGUUCUGGCCCCCGGCGAGGACUUCCCAUGUCACUGGGCACAGGGUGCCUCCAGAUGCCAUACACCAACCCCAGGCGGUCCCCUUCAAUGAGGAGGCCACCCCGCCCUCAGCCAGGCCCCAUCCCCACCCAUCGUGCAGGCUAGCGCCCCCCUGGGUCAGGGUCUCUGGCUACCCCUCCCCAGCGGCCCUGCAUGCACCUCCAUCCUUCUCACUGAAGGACUCAUUUCUCCCGAGCCCAAGGACAGCCUGGGGUGGCACGCUGUCCCCUUGCCCCCAAUGCCCCAUUCUCUGUCUUCCAGCUAUGAAUAGCAAGGGUGUCUGGUGUGAAACAAACAAAAACCACAAAACUCGAUAUAUGCAAUACCUGUCCUAUGGGCACAGCUUGGCCAUCAGCAGCCCCGCCAGCCAGUGGAGGGCCAGCAGGGCACAGGGACAGUGGGGGCACUGAGUCACAGGCCUCCUCCGUCCAGACCGAGCUGUUGUGUUGUCCUUGAUUUUGGGUUUUUUUUCAUUCUCUCUCCCUUCCUUCCUUCCUUCCUUCCUUCUUUCCUUUCUUCCUUCCUUUCCUUCCUUCCUUCCUUCCUCUUCUUCCUUCCUUUCUUUUUUCCAGUUUCCUUGCUGCAUUUGACCAAAGCUAAGAGGUAGCCAGGGGGUCAGUGGGGUGGGCGGGAUUCACCAACCCUAAGCCAUCUAGUGCCACUUCCUGCUCCAGCCUGGCCCUCCACACAUCCCAUGUGGGGACACCAAGCAGGAGGUCCCCAUUCUUUCCUUCACUGUCUCCUCAGGAUGUAGAAUUGUCUCAAGGGCCACCAUAAUAUUCUUAUCCUAAGUUUUCUUCCAAAGUGACGCCUCAUUACAUCCCAGGGGACGGAAGGAGAGCCCAGGCCCUUCCGCCAGCCUCCAUGCUGUCCUCAGGAACCAGUCUCUGGCCAGAGAGGACAGGCUGGGGAUCCCCAGGGUCCAUGUGGCUCAGUGAUGGUUUCUCAUGUUUUCCCUCCUGAGCAAACCCUGGAGCAGCCAGGGCAGAGGGAGAGGGUGACCCAGUCCCUCCACCCCAAGGAAGGCCUGGGUGGGGCACUAGCCUACAGGACCCCCCUUCAGGUUUUUGGAUCCUCUCUUGGGAACAGUGGGCUGGUGCAUGCCUAGCUGCAUAGUGCCAUAUUCCCCACACCCUAUUUCUCAGAAAAGCCACCCUUCCCAGACGCCUUGCUCCCUGUGGGCAGAACACAGCAGGGCACCGGGCCCUGGGACCUCAUGGCUGGCUGGCAGAGUGGGCUCACAGAUGGAUGAUGAUGGUGUCUUCCCUGGGGUACAGAUUGUUGGGAUUCUUUUCCUCUUACACAUAUGAAAGUUGCAUCUUUUCAACCUGCCCCCUCCCCCAGUCCACCAUCACCAACAGCCACAUCCUUUUCAUAGCCCCCCAGCCUGACCCUUGGGGUUCAGUCCAUCCUGUGGAAAAGACCAGGAGGGAUCCCCAAAUAUAUGCACAUUGCCUUGUCCCUUUCCUGGGCAGGCAUGUCCCACACGACCAUGGUGGCAAGGUGAGAAGAACCCGCCCUAUUUGACUGCUGAGAGAACAUCCCAGGACCAAGGUCCAGAGCCCCUCACAGGAGACCAGACAAUCAGAUCUGAUAGGGAUGCCAAAGGAAACUGGACAGCCAUGGGGUCAAAGGACCGCCACCUGGGUGCAGACAUUGCUGCAGAACCUCCUCUCUGUCCCCAGGGACAGCAGCUUACUGGAAACAAGCAGGUGUGGCCGCCCCACAUUGUCCCCCGCAAGACAGGGUCUUGAGGCCACGGGCAGCCAUUCAGAUUUCAGGGAAGGACAUCAAGCAGCCUGCCCCCUAUGCUCCUGCAGGUCCUCCACCUCCCCAGCGGUCCUUCCCUGGGCACCAGGCCAGGGGAGGCUGUGCUAUGCCCAUAUAAAUAUGUAGAUGCACAUACAACUUCAGAUUCUGUGCCCUAAGACCCACUACUCAGUGCUGUUUUAUUUUGGCCCUGUUUCUCAGACACCCCAAUUGUUUCUCUUUCCUGGGGGGAGGUAGCAGUGAGAUCUACCCUCAAAUCUAGCUUCCCUGCCCUGUCCCCCACCCAGGCCCACAUCCCGUGCUCCAUCCAUCCAUCCCUCAGUGGUCCAGAGCAGGGGCGGGACCACUGAUGCUGGGGAAGGUGGUAGCAAACCCUGAGCCGUGCCAGCAGACCUUGUUGCCAGUGAUAACCAAAACACUCAUUUCCCAAGCAGUGCCUCACACGUCUGCUGCUGCGGCUUGGGGUCCCCCGCCCUUGUCUCCACCCAUCCUCCCAGCUCCCCAAGCUUCUCUCAGACAUCAGACGGAAGAGGAGGUGGACCGGAUGGGGAUGAGCGCUCCAGAGAGGAGAGCACCCCACGCCACCACCUCCCCAGCACCCAGUUCUCCACCCACCUCCGGGCGGGAAGGGGACCAUCCAGUAAGGGGACCCCAGCACCAGCUCCCAAAAGCAUCCUCUUCCCAGCUCCCAUCUCAUAUCCCAGCCAGGCUGCUGCCCCUAAAACCAAAGCCCCAUCAAGUCCAGGGGCCCCAGCCUGAGCCCCCAGUUCCCUGCCCACCGGGGAGGCACCUGGCCAAGCCAUGGAUGAGCGGGACAGGACAGGGCAGGGCACACAGCACAGGGUGUGGGGUGAGAGUGGGGUGCUGGAAAGACGGAGAAAAAUAUCUUCCCCUCUGGAUUUUUUCUGUCUUUCUUUACUUUCUUUCCUCCUUUCUCCUUCAUUUUUUUCCUUCAUGUUUGGGUGGUGAGACUGUCCUGUUCAUUUUCCUCCCCGAAGAUUUUUUUUUGAGAAUUUUUUUUUGUUUCCAUUUUGUAUUUUACUCAUAUUACCAGGAUAGUUUAUUCUGUUUCUAGCUUUCUGCUUGCAGUACACACUAGACAACACACACGUGCACACACACGCACGCAUGCACACAUGCACACAUGCACGCACACGCACGCACACAUGCACACAUACUCGUGCACACAUGCGUGCGUGCACAUGCAUACGCACACACACAUGCACACAUGCACGCACCUGUGCUCAAAACCCAAGUCGGGCGGUCCUCUGGGCCUGUGGCUGCCGCCUCUCCCUCCUUCUCUCCAAGUGGGAAUGGGGGGGGAGGGGAGGGCGAGGGGACACCUGACAGACCCAGGCCCGCUUGCUCCGUGUCCCGGCACCUCCAUCAUAUACCCAUCCUCGCCUUGUAUAGUACACAGUCCUUUUGGUUUUCGCGGAUGCGCCUAAGUACCAUUUACAGGAAGUGACUGGCUGUUAUUUUGUUUCCCUAUGCAAAAAAAAAAAAGUGAAAAGGGGGGGUUCCAUAAAAGAUUCAAUAAAAGGCAAAAAAAAAAAAAGAAAAGAAGAAAAAAUGUAUAAAAAUUAAACAAGCUAUGCUUCGACUCUUCCUGGGUGUCUCGGCUCCUCCUUUCUGCGUCCAUCCAGGGAUGCUCUGUGUCCUUCUACAAAGGAAGACAGUGGGACCCAGGGAACAGGGUCCCUGUGCACUUGGGACAAAGAGCUGUUCCAAAGGAUCAGGUCCCUCCCUGGGAACAUGCCACAAGGUCUGGGGAUGUGUGGCUGUCACAACUGGGGAGCUCCUGGCAUGGGGCGGGUGGAGGCCAGGGAUGCUGCUCAGUGCCCUGCAGGGCCCGGGACACCCCGCAGAGAAGGACCCGCCCAGUGUGCAUGGUGCCCAGGGGAGAAAAUUGCUUCAGAUGUGGGCUUGGGUGAGCUGCUCUGUUCACUCGCACCGCCCCUGCUGGCUGAACCUCCCCCCCCCUUCCUCCCUCCCUCCCUCUCCUUGCGUCUGCCAGAGCCAAGCCCUGGGACCCAGCAGGGAAGAACCGCCCCCUUGGAGCUUCUGGCCCUCCAGAAGGACGGUGGAGAGUAAAAAAUGAUUGACGUAGCAAAAGGAAGCGAAUGAAGGCUAGGGCGUGGCCUCACUUGAGGAAGUAGCAUUUAGACAAAAACCUGAGUGCAUGAGUGGCGUGAGCACCCCAAAGUGUGAUGGAAGAGUGUCCCAGGCAGAGGCUCAGCAUAUGCAAAGGCCCUGCGGCAGGACAGAGGACCAGUGAGGAGAGAGGUUGAAGAACUUGCCUGAGGUCACACAGCAAGGAAGUUGGGCUCAGCCUCCUUCUCCAUGGAUUGGCCACCAGGGAUGCAGGACAGGGAACAGGGGAUUUGCCCCCAGGAUUUACAGUGCACUGAGGGAAGAACUCCCAUCUCCACAAAAAUGGCCCUGCGGUGUGGCCCAACCUUCAGGAGCAGCAAAGAUGCCCGGGGCUGGACCUGCAAAUCCUGAAAAGGUGGUGGGAUCGGGUGCUUGGUUCCUCCACCUUCCUUCCCCUGGAGUGGCCUCUCUCGGGUGAGGGGAGAACAGCAGGCUUCUCUGGGCCCCACGUGACACAUACUCAGGGAGGCCAGCAGAGGGCUCUUGGGAGCUCACUGAAGCUCUUGAGGCAAAAACAGGAGAUGCUGUCUGCUUAGACAGUCACAUAGGGCCAUAGAAAUUGGUGGUGGGGGAAGAAACCAGGCAGGGGGUAAAAAUGAUGCCUGAGAAGGAGACUUGGUACAGGAGAGAAUGCUGAGGCUGGGGUGAGGUUUGGGGAGCUCUUUGUCCAGGAGUUGCCAUCCAAGCUCCAGAGGAAUCAUUAGGUGGGGACCAGUCUGGGGAGGGGGAUUGUAGGAGGGUGGUCCCACUGGACACUUUUCCCUGGGCCCCAGAAGGAGCUGUUUAGCUGCCUAGGAAGGCUGCCUGGAGGAGGCAGGCUGGGAGCUUGUUCCACAGAGGUACUCAACUCUCAUAGCUGGGGAGGGGCCUGCCUCUUUCUCCUGCAGGUCCGCCCUCCUGGGCACCCUCCUCUAACUUCUCUUUUUUUCCCUCUCUUCCUUGUCCCUGUUGCUGUGAGACGGACCCAGAUAAAACCUCCAUCAUCUGAUUUAAUGAGGACUCAGUGUUCCAGGCCCCGUACAAUUCUCACCAGACCCCCAUGAGCCCUGCCCUGUUCCUAGGCUACUGGAAGGGGACAUGGAGAUUCAGACAAGGAUAGGACACCUGCCCUGUCAGAGCAGAAAGAAGUGGUUGAGCCAAACCCUCACUCUGCAUCUAGAGCCCUCUGCCUCCCGGGUCUCAAUUGGUGUGAGUGAUGGACGGCAGAGAUGAGCAGGUGCAUAGACUGAGGGAGGCAGGGCAGACACUUGAGUGGAUG